GAAAAACAUCUGUCAUGGCUUAUCUACCAGGCAAUGAAUGUGUUUAGGGUGGAAAGUUGAGGUCUGUUGCUUGUACUGAUGGCACAGUUACAGCCUGGAAUGUGCAAGAGACAAGUUGACUGGAAAACUGCAUUGCCCUGACCUGAAGUACAACAAUCUGCAGUCACUGAAUGAGAUCUGAAGUGCAAGCAAUACAACGGAUAUUUUUACUUUAACAAGGGUUAGCAGAGGCGGUCAGGCUCCUCGCAGGCAGUACCACAUCCGAAAGCCAUCACAGCCCUAGCACAGGCUCACAACGGCUGCCUGUGGAGCACGCAGAGCCUGGCAGGGGCAAUCUGUGCAACAGCUUGCUGCUUUUCCACAUCACCGCUUUCACGCUGCUCAGCUACUCACUCAGUAAACAAAGAGCCUUUCCUAUCUGUGAGUAAUUAAAAAAAAAUUACUAAUGUUUAUUAAUCUCUUAUUAUCUAAAUAACUUUGCAUAGUAAUGAGUUAGCUGUUCACCUCCUUACAAUCACUUGUAAAAAUGUACUGGGGCUCAACGUGAAAUCGUGUGCAGAGAUUAAGGGAAGGAUUUCCAUGCACUUGAGCUGAAUCAAACAUGCCUGUUCCUGUCAAAGGAUAGCUUUCCAGAGCCUGUUGCUGGCAAUUCAUUCACGUAAAGUAUGUCCGCAACAGAGCUUUACACACUUGAUUGCAAAUUUUUGUUGUGACAGUUAGCUGAAACUUUUUAAUGGCAUCCUAAUGCGAUUCUUCAAUCAAUGCGUUUGCAUUCUUCAUGUACUUGUAUAAUCUAGUUAAUUUCACAUGCUAUUUAUUUAUUCAUUACUUAUUCUCAUGCCUAGUGCUCCAACUGUUAAAUUACCUUUUUUCCCCCGUUGUUCUGAUUAGUUUUGACCUAUCUCUUUCACUUCUCUAUAUGAAUUAGCUUGAGACUAUUGUAUCAGCACAGCAUCUCCAGUGUUACUGUCCUAAAAGUACAGAAGUGGAGAUGGCCUGGAGCAGAGAACAGUAGAAACACUUUUGAUCACUGCCACCACCACUGGAACAGAGAGAGAUUAGUCAGAUGUGUUGACUUACCUUAUUUGCUCUGCAGUGGUAGAGUUAACUGCUGGCUCUCCUAUGCUAUCCACAGCAGCUGCAUUGAACUUGAAACACUAAUGGAAAAUGGAAAUAUAUUGCAUUUGCUCAAAACGUGAAGAACUGAGGAAAAACUGUUCUGUGCAUUUGUUUCAGCAGCUAUGCAUCACCUCUUUCAUUACCGUAUAUAUUUUACAGCAAUUUAGGCAGUAUAUGCCAGCUGAUGAAGUAAUAAUCAGGAUGAUAUUACAUCAACCUCUAAAAAACAGCUUCACUUUUUUUUUUUUUUAGGUCAAAAAAGUCAAGUGUCAGGGAAAAACUGUGCUCAGUUGGGUUUAAACAUACAUUUUAGUUUUACACACUGGGUCCUAACAGCAUCAAUCACAGCUUAAAUGGGUAGACUGUUAGUCAAAAGUACCAGCUCUUUGACAUUUGUACAAAUUUUGUAGGAGUUGGGAAGUUCAGACUCUAUCUUGCUUUCUUAUCCCUCCUCUUCUCUGCAACCCCCCCCCCCCCCCCCUCACUUUAGGCAGCUUCUGCAGGAGGAACCAAACCACUUAUGCACUGAAGAUGCCAGAUGUGAAUCAGGCUUCGUGUGUGACAGCAUUUCAGGAUGCCAGGAUCGAUUUACCACUGUUUCACCUAGCAGUUUGUGGGUAGCUGUUGGGACUACUGCGAUGACAGAUACCUCUCCAAGGACACCUUAUUAAAGGGAGCAGGACGUAUAAGGCAAUGUAUGAAGCAGGUCUCAGGUUUCAUACUAUCAGGAAGAUUUGAAAGUACACCUUCCUGCAUGGAAGGGCACAGAACAGAAAUAAUUCUCCUGGGAUGUGGAUCAGCACUGAAGCAGUAUUCUAUUUUCAGAGCUCUACUGGAAUGUUUCCAAGACCACCAUGACACGACUACUUCAAUAUGGGUGGUAAACAUGUCUCUACUGCAAACUUUUCUGCACUGUUUGCUGUGCAUUCUUUAACCACUGUUGUUUUAGUGGAAGGAUUCUCUCUGCUGCCACCUCAUCUUUGGACCCCUCUCUGAAUAUAUGCAUGGAAAAAAGCAAACAAACGAUGUGCUUUGCUGAACAGAUACCAUUUACGAGGUGGAGCCUGCAGAUAGUCAAGGUAAGAAAUAAUCUGAUCGUUAUAUGAGUGCUAAACCACAGCAUAAUUACUUUCUGCUUUGAGCCUUGUCACUUAAUCAAGCUGCUUCCAAUUACAAGGAAGUAAAUGCCUGUACCUGUCAUGGGUAAGGCAGUCACUAGUGGAAAGAUGGGAUUGGGUUAGCACCCUUAGAUAAAAAACUAAUUAACCAGUAUUGAUAUUUUUUAAAUGAACUGAGCAUUACUGCCUUCCUCUAUGGAGACAUGAUCAAGGCUGCUUACAGUGUUGUGUAAGAGGGACUAUACGGAUAUGGCAGAACAGAUGCUGCAGUAUCUCUCUCCAGCAUCUGCUUAUCACAAUAUAUUGUGAAAGCACACAGACAUUAAUCCCAAAAUUCAGGUACUUUUGCUUAAGUAGCACUUGGGACUCUGCAAACAGAGGUUCUGCUUUUAACACUUUAUGAUCAAAGCCAUAUUUUUAUUUUUAAAGUUGAGAUUUAAUUUCAGUCAAACUAAUAAAUUCAAAGCUACAUCUUUCUGUUUUCCAAAGUAUACUGUUAAAGAGACACAGCAGCACUGACAGCUAGUGAUACCACGUUAUGGUACCAGAAGGACAGAAAUCUGGACAUCAAGCCUCAAACAUGCAUACUACACUGAACUGAGCAUUAACAAUUUUUUAUAGCUACUGCUUUUCAUCUAGGACCCAAGUUGUAGUUCUCUCACAACACAGGUCUUAGAGAUGUGGCAGGUACAAUGGGUAUAUCACCACUGCAGUUGCUAGCACUGAUUAGUUAAGUCUUACAAAAAUAUGCCUUAUACUUACCUAUAAAAUGUUACGUGUGCUAAAGCUCUUAAGGUAUUUUUUAAUGCUACAAGUAAUUUUUCAGGGUAUCUCUUUCCCCAAAUCGUAUCUGUUGACACCUUACCAACUGUAGUUACACAAGAAACGAGGUGGUUAAGAACAGUAGAGACCACCCUCCCAAAAGUCCAGACUUAGGAGCAGCAAUUAAAACUUAAGCUCAGAAACCAGCUCCAGAGCAAGCAAGUUCCUACAUGUUCACCAGUAUUGUUGUAAAUAAGGAUGCCCCCCUUCACCAGCAGUGAAGUCCUGUAUACACCAAACCUCUUUAUCAAAAAUCACAGUUAAUGAUGGUUUUUUAGUUAACUCUAAUCCCAGUUAAAACUUUUUUUUUUUAAAUGUGGUCUUGACUUGAUUUCAAUAAUAUGGGUGCUACUUUCCUGUAAAAUUCAGUUCUUUAUUUUGGAGAAAGUAAAGUCCACUCACUAUAAGAGUUGCUUAAAAUGCUUUAUUUUAUUAAGUAAAUCAAAUGUGUACAAGUAAAUUCAUACAGAAUGUUCAAUACAUGCAUACUUAAUGUCUUUAUAAUAUCUAGGAUUCUGUCUUAUUGUCAGAAGUUUAAAUACUGCCUGAUGUGGGCCUAAUAUAUCAAUGCUGUAAGAUGUUUAACACUUAAAAUAGUCUCCAUAUCCCACAGUAUAGGGUGUCUAGAUGAAGACCUACCAGAACCAUCAUGGUACUGCAGUGUAAUUACAUUAAAAAAACUAUCAACUACUUCUUAACAUACAAUCCCAUAAUGGUCAGGCAAUCAUUCACUCACUGAAAACUUCUCUCUUGUAGGACUGUGAGUAAUCCAUGACUGAGAGCAUGUUUUAUUGGGAGUGCCUGUACCUGCUGAGAAACCACCAGCUUUCACGGGAGUAGUGAGCCAAUCCUUGGAAACUUCAGUUUUUCAACUUAAAAUCCACAAAGUCAAAGGAAAGUUGCCUGCCUGUAAGUACACAGUACUAGUACUUCAACUCUAUGUUAAGAAGUGUGUAACACCUCCGUCCUAAUUGUAAGGGAAUUAGAUCUCACUCUUGGAGUUUUCUUCGCAGGCUAUCACAACACUAAUGUUGCUAAAAUGGUAUCCUGAAAUGCAGCAUUUCCUCAUACAGAAUUCCAGCUAAUAGUACUAUGCUUGAGUUCAGUACCAACUAUGCUGAUACACCAGUUUCAUUAAACCUCAAUAUGCUUAGAGGUCACUUCUCUUCACAUGCCAAAGCUGCAGAGGUUAGGAUGGAGCCAAAAUGGUCCUGGUUUUAUAAUAAAGCCCUAAGAAAGGCAGCAGGUUGUAUAGUUACCUCCUUGUGAGCAAAAUCCCUGCCCUAAAACUAUGCAACCUACUACCUCUUCCUAGGAGCCCAAUGCUUCCUUUUUGCAGUUCUUACUUAGCAGCUCUUUGUGAAGUCACCUUAGCUUACCAGCUGCUUUUGGCCUCCUGCAUUUUUAGGCCAGGGCAUGUCCUGUAAGUUUGCACUGUUCAGUAAGUGGUUAACCAGUUCACCGCUCCUGGCUUAAAUACUCUUGAAUGGCUCCAUUUUCUCUCUUACUAUGCUAGAUUUUCAGUCCCAAAAAGCAUUUUCAUGCCUUUUUUGUUGUUGCUAGAGCAAGAUACUAGCUGCUCACUCUACUGCAGAAGCAGCUAGACUUGAGUACACCUAAGACUUUAGGGGGAAAAAAGAACACAGUAAGCUUUAAAUCUCUUUUAUAAAAACAUAACCACUUCAGAGAAAAAUUACAAUUCUGGAUCUUGGGCGCCCAAACUUCAUAGCUUUACACUCCCAAACAGUUCAGGGGUGAGUUUUGGCCAUUCAACACUUUAAUCUUUGUAUUACAUUGUUUAAGUCUCACUUGCUAGAAGAGCUAGAGAAAAAUAAGCAGACAUAUUAAUAAAGUAUAACUGUAAGUUUUCCUUCCAACAUCUACUAAACAACUGAAGUAGUGGAAUUUUAAUGCAUUACAGGAAUUGGGGUCUCAAAACAGUUUAAGUCACAGUGUACGUGCCUGAGCCACCAGAACUUUUAGAUUAAACACCAAACUGUUUUAGAAUAAUUUCUGGUCUAUGGGGUAUUCCACUCCAUAGCUAGUAACAGACGCAUUUUCGAUAUCCAGUCAGCACUGUGCCACUCACCUUGGAAGAAAUGUCACAGCAGUCGAAUACCAUUUAGGGUUUGCACCAUCCACACACUGUUACUCAGUGACAGAAUUUACAGGAUUAAUUUCAUACUUUACAACCCUAAACUUAUCUGACAAAACUAUUUUUGCUCACUCGAUGUGGAAAUGAAUGACUGCAAAAGACCGCAGUUUGUUUUACUCCUCAGGGAAGGCAAUAGAUUGUAUAGUUAUCUCCUGAACAGGGUAAAAUAACUACCCUACAACUAUACAAUCUACUACCUCACUCUGACAGAGAAGUGUGUACUUAAGAUCUUUGCUGAAGUAGCUAACCAUAGCCUCAUUCUGAAGAGUAUUAAUAUUUGAUGCUUCAUUUAGCAAUGCUAAAGAACACAACUUAUCAGAACAUCAAUCAUUUGUAGUUGAUUACCCAACCUUAAAGGAAUCAAUCUAUUUUUAUUUUUAUUCUUUAGAGGAGAAAAAAUAAUAUAGAAUGACAACCUAGAUUUUUCUAAGAAUUACAGAAAUCUAAAUGCAAUUACCUGUAGGUGCUGCAGAAACAUUUCUCUCCUAUAAAAAACAUUCCAAGUAUAGAAGUUCAGUAGAAUCUCACAUAGAACUUUAAAAGUGAAGUGUUUCCACUGUUGACUUUCCGCCACUUUAGGAAAGACAGUAGAUUGUAUAGUUAUCUCCCAGUUGUGGGUAUGACCCUAAAACUAUACAACCUACUACCUCAUCCCACAGUGCAGGCAUCUUCGGAGGUGACGUCGAAAGAUCGUUGCUUUAACAGAGACAAGUUAAGCCAGCUGCAGACAGCGUUACAAUGGAGAAUACCGAUUACAGAAAAAACAUUCCUAUUUCUCCCCAGUCAUGCAAUGAAGUUAUUUUAAAUGUAAAUUCCUUUAUUUCAAAUUUUACCAACCGUUUGGUCUUAAUAUAUUUAAACUCUAGACACUUAGCAAGCUGUAGUAGUUACAGCAACUACAGUCAUCAAACCUUUCUGUUACAGGAAAGGUACUGUUAGUGUUCCACAGAUGUAACCUCUCAUCUGAAAUUAGAAAACAAUGCCUAUCAGAAGCAUCACACACAGACCUAAAUUUCUUCUUCUUUAGAACUUUAAAGUAGUAAAAUCUAGGACCGUUAAUAGCUCAAAGAAAAUCACGUACUUUCUAAAAUAGUAUUUUGUGGUUUUUCUGUUAGUCUGAAAUGGCGUACAGUUCUGUGCACAGGGAUUCUAUUAUAAACAAAACUUAUCAAGGCCCAUACUCUGACACUUAAUUGUUAAACUGCCUUACCAAAAGGCCACUUAAAUAUACUCUUUUUUUACAUCAGAAACAAAUGCGUUUCUCUCACUGCCCCGACAGAACCUUAAAGCCAGUAUCUACAUUACCAUAGCUCAACAUGACCUUGAAGUAAAAAUCUUAAAAUAUUGAAAUAAAAAUACUUGCCAGACUGAUGUGUGACUUACAAUCCCCUUCUUAGCAAGGACAUCUUGAGAACAGAGCUGAAGAGGAAAACUGAUCAUUUUGUCAGUGUAAUUUAUAAGAUUGCUGAAAGUGUUUACAGAAAUGCACAGUUUUUCAAACAUUAAAUACAUGUCGUACUAGUACUUCAUCCCAAUUCUAAGCUGAGGUUUUCAGACCAGUCAUCAAACAAAGCCUUGAUAGAACAAGAGCUCCUAAUGCAUGUUAAUGUCCUUGCCAAAAAACACAACGCGUGAUCCAAUGCAUUAAUAUACAAAGGGAUGACGUUAUUCCUUGAACGGAGAGAAAAAAAAAGUACUUUCCAACCCCCUCAGUGCUUUACUCCAGAAACCUUUAUACAAAUAUUGAUGACAAAAUUUGGUGAAUCACUCUUAAUAUCUUGCUUGUAACUGGUUAGAAAUCCCAUUAUUUGCUUUUGUUAACUUACAUGCCUAUUGGAACGUGUACUUUACCAUGCACAGAUGGACACAAGCAGUUGGUCUCCAUGUCCAAAACAAAUAAAUUAGAACAGUAGCAGUGGGACAAAGUCAAAUGGCUGUGAAGCACUGGCACAUAUCACAUCCUUUUUGUGAGCUCAGGCAGAGGUCCUGCUGUCAAGCAAAUAUUCAAUGGAGUUGCUGGCAGUCCUUUCAUAGUUCCUUGUUCCUACACCUAAACCUUCAACCGACAAGCAAAAUUCAUGUAAAGAACAAGUUCCUAAAUGGGAGACACAGCCUGCUUGAGGCCUCAGUGCGGUGAGCCUAGCUACAGGGAGCAUCAACUCGCUGUUCGUCACUCAGUGCUUCCAUGAAGUCCAAGAUCUUUAAUUUCAGGUGGAACUUUAAGACGAAGCUGCUGAUUUCCUACACCCAGCAAGGUAUGCCAAAACCCAGAAGGUAUGCCAAAAAUAUAAACUGUAUUAAAUAUGCAGGACACUUGUUAGUUAUCUUUUCUUAAAUGAAGCCUGAAGGACAUUAAGAUUACUUUAUUUCACCACUUCUAGAUAGAAGUUGGCUAAAAACCUAACCAACUUGAGAAGAUGCAUCAAUUUUUUUUGUAGUUGUUUAUUUCCACUGACAGUACGACUUCCCAAUCAAGUUCUGUUAUAAGACAUUUUAAACCAUUUUCUACUGCCACCAUGAUAUUUUCUUGUUAUUUGCAGCUCCUCAAUCCAUAAGCAUUUGUCUGCUUUCAGCUUCCUGAAACAAGAGCUGUUCAUCUACGAGAGGUCUGGAAGGGCUAUGUGUUCCUUAAGGUCAUAAAUGUCCUUGAAAAAAUAUUUUGAAUGACAUCCAAUCGUUAACCUGUUGUUAUAUACAGCAGUCUGGCUUGAGAUUGAUUAUAAAGUGCACACAGGGCACUAGAAAAACCUCAUUCUGUAACAAAUAUGCCUUACAAAGGAUCAUCACAUAUCCUGUCUUUUAACUAGCCGAGAAAAGCACUUUUAUCGACAUGACGUCACUCAGAUAGGGUACCUACUAUUUUUAAUUUGGUUUAAUGCUAGAAGGGUAUAGAAUUAAAAGAACCCAAGUUCUAGUCAAAAUUGUCUGUUGAAACUGUAUUCUCGCGAAGUCUAGCUCAUUAGUGGUUUGCUUCAUGUUAGUCCUGAAGUUUUGGGGCUUAUAAGAAAUAAACGCACAGGUUAUUUCUAACAGUUUCUAAAAACCCUAUCACCUAAGUUGCGUUGUCCUUUCAAGGAAUGAGAGCUGCCAGGUUUCCCUGCAGGUCCGUUGUAUGCCUCUUCCCUGACACAAUACAUCAUGCUUUCCUGGCAGGCACACAAGCAGAGAAGCUUGAUGUACAGCACGCUGGAUAAAUUAUACUCCUGGCACAGCCUCUACUGACUUGGUAUCAUCUUAGCUUGAGGUGAAUCUGUUAUUGCACACAGCCCUGCUGCUGAAGUCACCGUGCUGGUGACAUCAUGCCCGAGCGUACAGGCAGGAGUUUCAGGGCUGGCUACCUGCACAUUCUGUACUUCAGCAACAAACACUUAGACAAUUAAUUUUUUUAGCUUUUAAAAAUACAUAAUUAACUCCUUUUCCCCUGCAGCAGCUGUGUCCAAUGGAUAUUUUUCCAGUCACUGUGUGCUUGUAUUUAAACAUCCCCGAAGCAGUGAAAGUGAAGAAAAUGACACUACUUGUGCAACUUUCCCACAGCACCGACAGGGACGACUGAGUUUGCUGCCAAACGAGCGCACUGAAGCUGCCUGCCCCAGCCAAGGGCUGAGGCCCGAGCCUGUACUCUGCUCUAACCACACGAUGGAGCUCUAGCGUUUACGUUACAAGCAUUAACACCAGUUCCUUGCCCCUUAACUUCAUCAUCUGCACUGGAGCUACACUUCAGCUCUCACCAACUCUCGUUACAGAAAGAAUAUAAAUAUCCAGAAACCACAGCUUGAAAGAAAUCUGAAGUCACUGCUAACCGCUCAUGCAUGGAAUGAAG